rnacentral:rRNA from 1 species
ACGAACGCUGGCGGCGUGCCUAAUACAUGCAAGUCGAGCGGAAUGAUGAAGAAGCUUGCUUCUUCUGAUUUUAGCGGCGGACGGGCGAGUAACACGUGGGCAACCUACCUUGUAGAUUGGGAUAACUCCGGGAAACCGGGGCUAAUACCGAAUAAUCCAUUUUGCUUCAUGGCGAGAUGUUGAAAGACGGUUUCGGCUGUCACUAUAAGAUGGGCCCGCGGCGCAUUAGCUAGUUGGUAGGGUAAUGGCCUACCAAGGCGACGAUGCGUAGCCGACCUGAGAGGGUGAUCGGCCACACUGGGACUGAGACACGGCCCAGACUCCUACGGGAGGCAGCAGUAGGGAAUCUUCCACAAUGGACGAAAGUCUGAUGGAGCAACGCCGCGUGAGUGAAGAAGGUUUUCGGAUCGUAAAACUCUGUUGUAAGGGAAGAACACGUACGAGAGUAACUGCUCGUACCUUGACGGUACCUUAUUAGAAAGCCACGGCUAACUACGUG